AUGCAAAGCAACAUGAAAAUCAUCUAUUACAGCCGUACAUUUUUAUCUAUAAUUGGUGGGGUUGUUGCUGGUAUUUUGGGAUUUACGGGCUUGUACGGAUUUGUCUUUUACUUACUUCUCAUGGCAUUUACUUCCGUUGGGCUCAUAGUCAAAUCAAAGUUUUCAAUCCACACAUACUUUGAUUCCUGGAAUCGCGUGCUAGUUGAUGGCUUUCUCGGUGGUCUAAUAAUGAUUUGCAUAUGA